rfam:Salmo salar isolate Sally breed double haploid chromosome ssa21, whole genome shotgun sequence.
AAUGCACCAAUUUGUAAGUCGCUCUGGAUACGAGCAUCUGCUAAAUGACGUAAA